GCCAACGUCCAUACCACGAUGAAUACACCGGUUCUCGUCCGAUCACCGAAGUUAAGCAACGUCGGGCGCGGUCAGUACUUGGAUGGGUGGCCGCCUGGGAACACCGCGUGACGUUGGCU
rnacentral:rRNA from 1 species